UGCUUGUGAUUACGUAGAUGUUAAUGUUCCAACUUUUGCUUAUUGUUUUUCUUUAACACUUUAUUGACACUUGACACAACAUUCAAAAAUAGAUAUAUUCUAUUCAAACAGUUCAUGAAAAAAAUUAUUGCUUUGUUCAGACAGUUGGAUUGGCUGGAUUUGAACAGGACGUUCUAUACGAGAAGGGAUUACGUUGGUUUUAUUCAGUUAUUUUGGGGAUGAUUGACGUAUUAUCAGUGUACCGUAUGUCAAGAAGCAUCCUAUGGUGAUACAGCAUUCGUUCUCCGCAAGAAUAUUUCUCUCCACAUAUCUGUUGUAAAAGAGUGAAAGACAAAUAAUAUUUUAAAGAACAUAUAAAGUUUUUUUUGAAAGCUGAAACAAGCAAUAUCGUUAAAAUGGAUAAAGUUCAAGAACUUUCUGAAGCACUGCCUUUACCAAGUCAGCCAUUCUUAAACGUCGAAGUAAAUGAAUGCAAAGAAAGUUGAGUGAGUCUGUGUUAGUGAAACCAUGCUACAGGUGAAACUAGGUAAUGAACAAAUCAUGUUUUUGUUUUGUAAAGAAACUUGAAUAAUUUUAAUAUGUUACUAGAUUGACGUCACUGGUCAUAUGUUGUGCUUCAACAGACUCACUUCUUCAAAUACCACUGUGCUGUCAAAACGUGAACAAAACCAUUUAUUCAAUUUAAUAAUAAGCAUUAACAUCUUAAUAGUAUUUACCACUUUAUUUUAGCACUAUCCCAGAGUAUAGAAUUAUAAAGCUUGUCAAAGACUUUCUUAUCAACAUG